CCGAGUUGUAGUCUGGAGAAGUGCUUNUCGCGCNNUGGACCGUGUACAAGUCUCUUGGAACAGAGCGUCAUAGAGGGUGAGAAUCCCGUCUUUGACACGGACUACCAGUGCUUUGUGAUGCGCUCUCAAAGAGUCGAGUUGUUUGGGAAUGCAGCUCAAAAUGGGUGGUAAAUUCCAUCUAAAGCUAAAUAUUGGCGAGAGACCGAUAGCGAACAAGUACCGUGAGGGAAAGAUGAAAAGCACUUUGGAAAGAGAGUUAAACAGUACGUGAAAUUGCUGAAAGGGAAACGCUUGAAGUCAGUCGCGUCGUGCAGGACUCAGCCUUGCUUUUGCUUGGUGCACUUUCUGUACGACGGGCCAGCAUCAAUUUUGACCGUCGGAAAAGGGCUGAGGGAAUGUGGCACCUUCGGGUGUGUUAUAGCCUUCAGUCGCAUACGGCGGUUGGGAUUGAGGAUCGCAGCGCGCCGCAAGGCAGGGGUUCGCCCACUUUCGCGCUUAGGAUGCUGGCAUAAUGGCUUUAAACGACCCGUCUUGAAACACGGACCAAGGAGUCUAACUUACCUGCGAGUGUUUGGGUGGAAAACCCGAGCGCGUAAUGAAAGUGAAAGUUGGGACCUCUGUCGUGGAGGGCACCGACGCCCGGACCUGACGUUCUCUGACGGAUCCGCGGUAGAGCAUGUAGGUUGGGACCCGAAAGAUGGUGAACUAUGCCUGAAUAGGGUGAAGCCAGAGGAAACUCUGGAGGNNGCUCGUAGCGAUUCUGACGUGCAAAUCNNUNNGCAAAUNCGGGUAUAGGGGCGAAAG
rnacentral:rRNA from 1 species